UACGUAGGGGGCGAGCGUUGUCCGAAGUCACUGGGCGUAAAGCGCGCGUAGGCGGGCUGGUAAGUGAGAGGUGAAAGGCCGGGGCUCAACCCCGGAGGGUCCUCUCAUACUGCCGGUCUUGAGGGCGGCAGGGAGAAGUGGAAUGGCUGGUGUAGCGGUGAAAUGCGUAGAUAUCAGUCGGAACACCGGUGGCGAAGGCGGCUUCUUGGGCCGUUCCUGACGCUGAGGCGCGAAAGCCAGGGGAGCGAACGGG
rnacentral:rRNA from 1 species